GACCCCAGGUACUCCAUAACUCCCUAUUAGUAAAUUUGUUUAUUGCCAUGCAGAUUUCAUGGAGCCUUGAUUUAUAUACUUUAUAACAGUCACACCCCUUGACUUUUCUUUUCCUAAAUAUUGUUGUUCACCAUUUAUAAAACCUCUUUCCUAAACUAAUCUUUUGAAUGGCUAAUUUUCAUUAAAUCAUCUUGCUUAGAUUGAGAAUGCCUUAGAUUUCUAGGUUAAUUACAGAAAUAUAGCUUUAAAUUAUUAAGUCUGGUUUAAGGAAUGGUGUGUCUCAGUAUUUAAAUUUCUGAUUUGUUUUCUUAAUUAAAAAUGUACCAUAUUUUAUAAUAUUUCCUAAUGAGUUUAUCUAUAGUACAAACUACCUCCAUUUCCCUCUUUCUCCUUCUUACCAGUUUCCCCACUUAACAGGUCUCUGCAUGUAGCCCAGGUUGGCCUUGAGCAGUCUAUGCUCCUGUACAUGCUUCUACAGUGCCAGGCCCACUGAUGGUACAGCCCACAUGCAAGGAUUUAGACAAAUGGUAUCCAUACCAGAAGAGUUCGAUGGUCUGUGAGUCUGAAAAAUAAUUUUUCCCUUUGCCAAACUUAGCAAACUUAAUCUACUUAUGACACAGAACAUACGAACACAUUCAACUUUGCAUUAAAAUUACUUAUGU
rnacentral:lncRNA from 1 species